rnacentral:rRNA from 1 species
UAGCCGUCGUCAGCUCGUGCCGUGAUGGUGUUGGGAUAAAGUCCCCGCCAACGAGCGCAACUCCUACCCCGUGUCGCCAGCAGGUAAAGCUGGGGACUCGCGGGGGACUGCCGCGGAGAACGCGGAGGAAGGCGGGGAUGACGUCAAGUCAUCAUGCCCCUUAUGUUCUGGGCUUCACACGUACUACAAUGGGAUGGACAGAGGGAAGCGAAACCGCGAGGUGGAGCGGAACCCUGAAAGCAUCCCCCAGUUCGGAUUGCAGGCUGCAACCCGCCUGCAUGAAGUCGGAAUCGCUAGUAAUCGCAGGUCAGCAUACUGCGGUGAAUACGUUCCCGGGCCUUGUACACACCGCCCGUCACACCACGGAAGCCGUUCACGCCCGAAGCCGGGGUCAAACCUGUCGAAGGCAGGGGCGGUGACUGGGGUGAAGUCGUACAAGGUAACCUA